CCUACGGGAGGCAGCAGUGGGGGAUAUUGCACAAUGGGGGAAACCCUGAUGCAGCGACGCCGCGUGGGUGAAGAAGCGCCUCGGCGCGUACAGCCCUGUCAGCAGGGAAGAAAAUGACGGUACCUGAAGAAGAAGCCCCGGCUAACUACGUGCCAGCAGCCGCGGUAAUACGUAGGGGGCAAGCGUUAUCCGGAUUUACUGGGUGUAAAGGGGGCGCAGACGGCGGUGCAAGCCAGGAGUGAAAGCCCGGGGCCCAACCCCGGGACUGCUCUUGGAACUGCGUGGCUAGAGUGCAGGAGGGGCAGGCGGAAGUCCUGGUGUAGCGGUGAAAUGCGUAGAUAUCAGGAGGAACACCGGUGGCGAAGGCGGCCUGCUGGACUGCAACUGACGUUGAGGCCCGAAAGCGUGGGGAGCAAACAGGAUUAGAGACCCCGGUAGUC
rnacentral:rRNA from 1 species